GACGAACGCUGGCGGCGUGCUUAACACAUGCAAGUCGAACGGAAAGGCCCUGCUUUUGUGGGGUGCUCGAGUGGCGAACGGGUGAGUAACACGUGAGUAACCUGCCCUUGACUUUGGGAUAACUUCAGGAAACUGGGGCUAAUACCGGAUAGGAGCUCCUGCUGCAUGGUGGGGGUUGGAAAGUUUCGGCGGUUGGGGAUGGACUCGCGGCUUAUCAGCUUGUUGGUGGGGUAGUGGCUUACCAAGGCUUUGACGGGUAGCCGGCCUGAGAGGGUGACCGGCCACAUGGGGACUGGGAGACGCCCGAGACUCCAAGGGGGGGAAGGGGGGGGGAAUAUGGCACAAGGGGGGGAGGCCUGAUGCAGCAGCGCCGGGGGGGGGAUGACGGCCUUGGGGUUGAAAACCGCUUGCGCUUGGGACGAAGCGGGAGUGAGGUUAAGGUGUAAAGAAGCACCGGCUAACUACGUG
rnacentral:rRNA from 1 species